rnacentral:lncRNA from 1 species
ACAACUCUAUCUUCUACCUUCCUCUAGUUUUCUGAUUGUUUUAGAAAAUUUCCUCUCCUCUCUCAGUUCUGUUUGCCUCAAUUUAUAAGAGAAACGGCUAAUGUUUUCAUUCAUUGUACAAAUACAUGUUCUGGAUUUUGUAUUGUUACUCAACAAAAAUUCAUUGGAUUUUACACUGUUUUUGUAAUAAAAUUUAAGCAAGAUACCAUUAAGG